GGGGAUUUAGCUUAGUGGUAGAGCGCUUGCCUAGCAAGCGCAAGGCCCUGGGUUUAGUCCCCA
rnacentral:tRNA from 1 species